GAUUUCCGAAUGGGGAAACCCGGCAGAGCAAUACUCUGUCAACCAUAGCUGAAUCCAUAGGCUAUGGUGGGGAACCGCCUGAACUGAAACAUCUAAGUAGGGCGAGGAAAAGAAAUCAACCGAGAUUCCGUAAGUAGUGGCGAGCGAACGCGGAAAAGGCCAAACCGGGUGUAGCAAUAUGCCCGGGGUUCGGACGGCAAUCUGUAGCCAUUUUCGAUAACCGAACGCGUUGGGAAGCGCGGCAAUACAGGGUGACAGCCCCGUAGGUGAAAUCGAAGUGGCGCUAGCCGGAUCCAGAGUACCACAGGACACGUGAAACCCUGUGGGAAGAUGGGGGGACCAUCCUCCAAGCCUAAAUACUACUCAGUGACCGAUAGUGGAGCAGUACCGUGAGGGAAAGGUGAAAAGUACCCCGGGAGGGGAGUGAAAAAGAACCUGAAACCUUGUGCUUACAAGCACCGAGAGCGCGUUUAUGCGUGAUCGGGUACUUUUUGUAGAACGGUCCGGCGAGUUAAUGUACGUAGCAAGCUUAAGGUACUGUAGUACCGGAGGCGCAGGGAGACCGAGUCUGAAUAGGGCGGCUUAGUUACGUGUAUUAGACCCGAAACCGGGUGACCUAUCCAUGAGCAGGCUGAAGCGGUGGUAAGACACCGUGGAGGGCCGAACCCACGUCCGUUGAAAAGGCCGGGGAUGACUUGUGGAUAGCGGAGAAAUUCCAAUCGAACUCGGAGAUAGCUGGUUCUCCCCGAAAUAGCUUUAGGGCUAGCGUCAGGUUAGAUUACCGGAGGUAAAGCACUGAAUGGGCUAGGGGCCGCGAGGUUACCGAACCCUAUCAAACUCAGAAUGCCGGAUAAUUGUUGCCUGGCAGUCAGACUACGUGAGAUAAGUCUCGUGGUCAAAAGGGAAACAGCCCAGACCCACAGCUAAGGUCCCAAAUAAAUGCUAAGUGGAAAAUGAUGUGAAACUGCGAAAACAACCAGGAUGUUGGCUUAGAAGCAGCCACACAUUCAAAGAGUGCGUAAUAGCUCACUGGUCGAGUGGUUUUGCGCAGAAAAUGUAACGGGGCUAAGCAUUUAACCGAAGCUUGGGCAGAUGAAUAAUCUGGGUAGGGGAGCGUCCGAUAUGGGGCGAAGUCAGAGCGGAAGCACUGGUGGACUGUAUUGGAGUGAGAAUGCCGGAAUAAGUAGCGAGAAUUAUGUGAGAAUCAUAAUGGCCGAAAAUCUAAGGUUUCUUGGGGAAGGUUCGUCCGCCCAAGGUUAGUCGGGAGCUAAGGCGAGGCCGAACGGCGUAGUCGAUGCACACACGGUAGAAAUUCCGUGACCACCAAAAGAGUUAAGCAGAGGGACGCUUUCUUUAAGUCUAUCCCGGGCGAUGGUUGCCCCGGGCGUAAGGGACCGAAAUAUAGUAGGGAAGUAGAUGGCGAGAGAGACGAGAAAAGCUCUGUGUAUUUCUGAGGUGCCCGUACCGCAAACCGACACAGGUAGAUGGGAUGAGGAUUCUAAGGCCAACGGGAGAAGGGUUGUUAAGGAACUCGGCAAAUUGGUCCCGUAACUUCGGGAGAAGGGACGCCCACGCAAGUGGGCCGCAGUGAAAAGGCCCAAGCGACUGUUUAGCAAAAACACAGCUCUCUGCUAAAUCGAAAGAUGACGUAUAGGGGGUGACGCCUGCCCGGUGCUGGAAGGUUAAGGGGAGUGCUCAGGAGAAAUCCGAAGGUGCGAACUUAAGCCCCAGUAAACGGCGGCCGUAACUAUAACGGUCCUAAGGUAGCGAAAUUCCUUGUCAGGUAAGUUCUGACCCGCACGAAUGGCGUAACGAUUUGGGCACUGUCUCAACAGCCCGCCCGGCGAAAUUGUAGUACCGGUGAAGAUGCCGGUUUCCCGCAACUAGACGGAAAGACCCCAUGGAGCUUCACUGUAGCUUGAUAUUGGAUCUCGGUAUUCCAUGUACAGGAUAGGUGGGAGGCUAGGAAGCAAGUGCGCCAGCAUUUGUGGAGCCAACCUUGGGAUACCACUCUUGGGGUAUUGGGAUUCUAACCUGCGCCCAUGAAUCUGGGCGGGGGACACUGUCAGGUGGGCAGUUUGACUGGGGCGGUCGCCUCCAAAAGAGUAACGGAGGCGCUCAAAGGUUCGUUCAGCACGGACGGAAAUCGUGCGGUGAGUGUAAACGCAGAAACGAGCCUAACUGCGAGAAUGACGGUUCGAGCAGUAACGAAAGUUGGAGUUAGUGAUCCGGCGGUAUGUGAAUGGAAAUGCCGUCGCUCAACGGAUAAAAGCUACCCUGGGGAUAACAGGCUGAUCUCCCCCAAGAGUCCACAUCGACGGGGAGGUUUGGCACCUCGAUGUCGGCUCAUCGCAUCCUGGGGCUGAAUUCGGUCCCAAGGGUUUGGCUGUUCGCCAAUUAAAGCGGUACGCGAGCUGGGUUCAGAACGUCGUGAGACAGUUCGGUCCCUAUCUGUUGCGGGCGCAGGAAUAUUGAAAGGAGCUGUCCUUAGUACGAGAGGACCGGGAUGGACGUACCGCUGGUGCACCAGUUGUUCCGCCAGGGGCAUAGCUGGGUAGCUAAGUACGGACGAGAUAAACGCUGAAGGCAUCUAAGCGUGAAACUCCCCUUAAGAUCAGUAUUCCCAUCCUUCGGGAGUAAGGCCCCAUGUAGACUACAUGGUUGAUAGGUCAGAAGUGGAAGU
rnacentral:rRNA from 1 species